rnacentral:lncRNA from 1 species
AGCCCAGCUGCUGGAUUUCCACUGAGAGGAGAGUCAUGCAUUGCCUGUCACCCCCAAUAAGCAAAGCCUACCCUGGGCACCUUGUGGUCUCCUUUCAGGGAGGCAGUGCCUCCUCCUCCUAUCUGUGACAUUGUCUUUCUACCACUCUUCUUUGUUGUUGUUGCUUUUUGUGUGUGUGUGUGUGUGUCCAGUUAAAAUUGAUUGACAUAAAGGUCAUGGUAGCACAGAAGAAAAGAGGAAAGAGUCCCUUUUGCACAACAAAUUCCCAGGGUUUGCAUGAGUCCCUUUUGCACAACAAAUUCCCAGGGUUUGCAUGAGCUUAGCAAGGCUCGCUUGGGGCGAGAAGUGCCUGGACAUCUUUCUCUGGGGUGUUGUAUUAUUUUGCCUUUUGUCACUUGAUCACAAAAGGCAUAAAGCAACAGCUUCUCACCCUCUCCAGAACACCUACAAGGAGGCUUAAGUACCUAAACCCAUGCAGAGGUUGAGCUUAAUACAAUGUGAAUAUCACAGCAAGGUGAUAGAUAGACUCUAUAGACAAGAAGACCUGGGGAAAAAAAAAAAAAAAAGGAAAAAAAACCAUUAUUUUCUCUUUUCUUUCAAUUAUUCAACAGUCUGAAUGCAUUUAAAUAUUUAAGCUUACCUACUUUUUUCCUCACUUGUCAUUGUGCUCCACCAUUUGUUUCCUUUCAUUAUUAAAAGAAAACAAAGCCGUAACUCAGUGUUGCAUACUUCCAAUUAAUAUGAAUGCUUUCAUGAAAAUGCAGAAGGAGGAAUAAAUCCAGCAGAAGCUUUUAUUGCAUUUAAACAUCCACCUCCAGGACUGGAAACUCACACGCAGUGGGGUGGCAUGAAUUCAUGAGAACUGGUGAAAGAAGCCUGAAGCUGCAAGUGCAUAGACAUAGAGAGCGGAUGAAGACCCAUGAGACCAACAAGCAGAGAUGUAGGAAUGCAGGAGAACAUGACAGUUCUGAUCUGUUGGAUGGAGAGAGUCUCCAUGUAGGAUCAUGGCAUGGAUCCAAUUGCUUAGUUCUUGCUCAGAUGACUUUCAGAUAUUACUUUCAGCCAUGA